CCAUCGCAUCCAUGUGAGCAAAGGAAGUGAGGCGAGAGGAACAUCCCACUCAGUCUGCAGAAGCAGGCCAUCGUCAGCGAGAGCACUGGAAGCUGUGGCUGCCGUGGUAGGUGUUAUCUGGGAAAACGGAGAGUACACAACAAGGAGUUUCAAGAAGCACAGUACAAAAAAAAAAAACAAAAACAAAACAAAAAAAAAAUUAAUCACACUGGAGAGCGAUAGAACAGAAACUUUGCCAGAGGGGCAAUGCCUUUCUUCCACGUUAUGUUGACCAAACUAGAAAAUUAGUCUCUUGAGAUUCAAGAAGAAAUAAAAAAAGGAUUUAUUUUGGAAUGCAAGACAGAUACAUGGAUAACACAGAACUUUAUAACAAACCUAAAUCUCUGCAUUUUAUACACAGUUAAUGGAAGCUAAUAGACAAAUCAGUAUGUAAGGAGUAUUUAAAAAGAGAAGCUUUAAUAAAUGCCAAAGCUGCUGUUUGCUUGCAUGGAAUUUCAAUUGCACCAUGUAAUGCUGGUAAUUGUUUCCUUCUAAUUAGACAUGUAAUAGGUACCCAACCCAGUCUAGAUGUUCUUCAGCAACUUGUCUGAGAUGUCCAUGAGCCAGAUUGCAACAGGAGCUGACACAGGAACGAUGGAGCAACACACACACAGUGUGAUAAGGAGGAAGAGCAUGCCUGUCUAUGUCUCAUGCGCACAGAGCUUGAGGGUGGAAACAGACAACCAGAGCUGUAUGUAGGCUUGGAGGAAGAGAUAUUAUCAAAUGGUGCUAGAAACAGAGGCAGGACACAACACCAUACCAGGUAGCCUGAGCAAAAAUUUCAUUGCUAAUUAAAAACAGAAAAACAUGUGAAUGUGUAUGAAGUGAUAAGUUUAAAAGCAAUGUGUUCUGAGAUAUGUCUGGUGCAAGCCAAUGCAGAUUAGCAUGGGACAAGUUUGUUAAAAUGCCUUUUAAAACCUACAGGUAAAAAUCCUGAAGAUGUCUCCUCCAAUGUGCCAUCCAGAGCUAAUGCUCCUGUAAGAAAAAGCAUGCCAGUGUCAUUGUAGAUGCCUGGCUUUAGUGCCACUCCUAAUACACAGCCCUCCUCACACUCAUCACCUUCAUCAGUUCCUGCCUUCAGCACCCUCUCAUCUGCCCAUCCUGCUCAGCAGCUUUCCUAUGGUAAAAGUGAAAAAAAAUAAAAAGAAUAAAAGAAUAAAAGAAUAAAAGAAU
rnacentral:lncRNA from 1 species